AUUGAACGCUGGCGGCAUGCCUAACACAUGCAAGUCGAACGGAAACGAUGCUAGCUUGCUAGCAGGCGUCGAGUGGCGGACGGGUGAGUAAUGUAUAGGGAUCUGCCUAGUAGUGGGGGACAACAUGUGGAAACGCAUGCUAAUACCGCAUACGCUCUACGGAGGAAAGUGGGGGACCUUUCGGGGCCUCAUGCUACUAGAUGAACCUAUAUUGGAUUAGCUUGUUGGUAAGGUAAUGGCUUACCAAGGCGACGAUCCAUAGCUGGUUUGAGAGAAUGAUCAGCCACACUGGGACUGAGACACGGCCCAGACUCCUACGGGAGGCAGCAGUGGGGAAUAUUGCACAAUGGACGAAAGUCUGAUGCAGCAAUGCCGCGUGUGUGAAGAAGGCCUUAGGGUUGUAAAGCACUUUCAGACGUGAGGAAAAGUUAUAACUUAAUACGUUAUAGCCUGACGUUAACGUCAGAAGAAGGAACCGGCUAACUCCGUGCCAGCANCCNCGGUNNUACGGAGGGUCCAAGCGUUAAUCGGAAUUACUGGGCGUAAAGCGCGCGUAGNCGGAUAUUUAAGUCAGAUGUGAAAUCCUGGGCUCAACCUAGGAACNGCAUUUGAUACUGGAUAUCUAGAGUAUGGUAGAGGUGAGUGGAAUUUCAGGUGUAGCGGUGAAAUGCGUAGAGAUNUGAAGGAACAUNAGUGGCGAAGGCGACUCACUGGGCCAUUACUGACGCUGAGGNNCGAAAGCGUGGGUAGCAAACAGGAUUAGAUACCUGGUAGUCCACGCCCUAAACGAUGUCAACUAGGUGUAUGGGAGUUUNACUCCUGUGUA
rnacentral:rRNA from 1 species